rnacentral:rRNA from 1 species
UAGGGAAUCUUCCACAAUGGACGCAAGUCUGAUGGAGCAACGCCGCGUGAGUGAAGAAGGUUUUCGGACCGUAAAGCUCUGUUGUUGGUGAAGAAGGAUAGAGGUAGUAACUGGCCUUUAUUUGACGGUAAUCAACCAGAAAGUCACGGCUAACUACGUGCCAGCAGCCGCGGUAAUACGUAGGUGGCAAGCGUUGUCCGGAUUUAUUGGGCGUAAAGCGAGCGCAGGCAGAAGAAUAAGUCUGAUGUGAAAGCCCUCGGCUUAACCGAGGAAUUGCAUCGGAAACUGUUUUCUUGAGUGCAGAAGAGGAGAGUAGAACUCCAUGUGUAGCGGUGGAAUGCGUAGAUAUAUGGAAGAAUACCAGUGGCGAAGGCGGCUCUCUGGUCUGCAACUGACGCUGAGGCUCGAAAGCAUGGGUAGCGAACAGGAUUAGAUACCCUGGUAGUCCAUGCUGUAAAACGAUGAGUGCUAAGUGUUGGGGAGGCUUCCGCCUCUCAGUGCUGCAGCUAACGCAUUAAGCAC